rnacentral:rRNA from 1 species
UUUAAAGUCUAACCUGCUCAAUGAAAUAUUUUAAAUAGCCGCAGUAUUUUGACUGUGCGAAGGUAGCAUAAUCAUUAGUUUUUUAAUUGAAAGCUAGAAUGAAGGGUUUGAUGAAAAAAUAACUGUCUCAAUAUUAAUGAAUUAGAAAUUUAUUUUUAAGUUAAAAAGCUUAAAUUUUUUAAGAAGACGAGAAGACCCUAUAGAGUUUUAUAUAAAUUUAUAUUUGAAAUUUUUAGAAUUUAAUAUUUUAAUUAAAAUUUUAUAUUUAAUUGGGGUGAUUAAAAAAUUUAAAUAACUUUUUUUUAGAAAAACCAUAGAUUUAUGAAAAAAUGAGCCUAAAUUUUAGAUUAUAAGAAAAAAUUACCUUAGGGAUAACAGCGUAAUUUUUUUUGAGAGUUCAAAUCGAAAAAAAAGAUUGCGACCUCGAUGUUGGAUUAAAGAAAAUUUUUAAUGCAGAAGUUAAAAUUUUAGGUCUGUUCGACCUUUAAAUCUUUACA